GACGAACGCUGGCGGCGUGCUUAACACAUGCAAGUCGAACGGAAAGGCCCUGCUUGCAGGGUACUCGAGUGGCGAACGGGUGAGUAACACGUGGGUGAUCUGCCCUGCACUUCGGGAUAAGCCUGGGAAACUGGGUCUAAUACCGGAUAGGAGCCAUUUUUAGUGUGAUGGUUGGAAAGUUUUUUCGGUGUAGGAUGAGCUCGCGGCCUAUCAGCUUGUUGGUGGGGUAAUGGCCUACCAAGGCGGCGACGGGUAGCCGGCCUGAGAGGGUGGACGGCCACAGUGGGACUGAGAUACGGCCCAGACUCCGACGGGAGGCAGCAGUGGGGAAGAUUGCACAAUGGGCGCAAGCCUGAUGCAGCGACGCCGCGGGGGGGAUGACGGCCUUCGGGUUGUAAACUCAUUUCGCUAGGGACGAAGCUUUUUGUGACGGUACCUAGAGAAGAAGCACCGGCUAACUACGUG
rnacentral:rRNA from 1 species